rnacentral:rRNA from 1 species
UAAUACCGCAUGAUGCCUGAGGGCCAAAGACGAAAGCGUUUGAGGAGGAGCCUGCGUCUGAUUAGGUAGUUGGUGGGGUAAAGGGCCUACCAAGACCUGCGAUCAGUAGCUGGUCUGAGAGGAUGAUCAGCCACACUGGGACUGAGACGCGGCCCAGACUCCUACGGGAGGCAGCAGGUGGGGAAUAUUGGACAAUGGGCGCAAGCCUGAUCCAGCAAUGCCGCGUGGGUGAAGAAGGUCUUCGGAUUGUAAACGUCCCUUUUGGGCGGGGACGAUGAUGACGGUACCCGCAGAAUAAGCUCCGGCUAACUUCGUG